CAAGUAGGCUGGGUAAUCGCGGGUGAGCCACUGAGUGGCGAGCCUGAGGAAAGUCCGAGCUCCACAGGACAGGGUGCUGGGUAACGCCCAGCGAGGGUGACCUCAGGGAAAGUGCAACAGAAAUCAUACCGCCCUAGUCGCAAGGCUAGUGGUAAGGCUGAAACGGUGCGGUAAGAGCGCACCAGCAGCUAGGUGACUAGCUGGCUAGGUAAACCCCACCUGGAGCAAGACCCGAUAGGGGAAGGUUGAGGUGGUCCGCUGACUUCCCGGGUGUGGUCGCAUGAGGUGUCAGGCAACUGGCGCCCUAGAUAGAUGAUUACCGCUCCUCUCCUAUGACGGCAACUGAGACCGAUGCCCUUGGGUAUGGGUUAAUGUGACGCCCGAUAUGAGAGGAGAUACAGAACUCGGCUUACAGGCCUACUUGCAGA
rnacentral:RNase_P_RNA from 1 species